UACGUAGGUGGCGAGCGUUGUCCGGAUUUACUGGGCGUAAAGAGCGCGCAGGCGGUCGUACAAGUCGCGUGUGAAAGCCCCCGGCUUAACUGGGGAGGGUCACGCGAUACUGUUCGACUCGAAGGCAGGAGAGGGAAGCGGAAUUCCCGGUGUAGUGGUGAAAUGCGUAGAUAUCGGGAGGAACACCAGUGGCGAAGGCGGCUUCCUGGCCUGUUCUUGACGCUGAGGCGCGAAAGCUAGGGUAGCAAACGGG
rnacentral:rRNA from 1 species